GAAACCAGGUGAUCUACCCUUGGUCAGGUUGAAGUUCAGGUAACACUGAAUGGAGGACCGAACCGACUUACGUUGAAAAGUGAGCGGAUGAACUGAGGGUAGCGGAGAAAUUCCAAUCGAACCUGGAGAUAGCUGGUUCUCUCCGAAAUAGCUUUAGGGCUAGCCUCAAGUGAUGAUUAUUGGAGGUAGAGCACUGUUUGGACGAGGGGCCCCUCUCGGGUUACCGAAUUCAGACAAACUCCGAAUGCCAAUUAAUUUAACUUGGGAGUC
rnacentral:rRNA from 1 species